UACAGAGGGUACUAGCGUUGUUCGGAAUGACUGGGCGUAAAGGGUGCGUAGGUGGUUACUUAAGUGAGAUGUUAAAUGCCCAGCCUUAACCUGGGACUCGCGUUUCAAACUGGGUGACUAGAGUACGGUAGAGGAAAAUGGAAUUCCUAGUGUAGAGGUGAAAUUCGUAGAUAUUAGGAGGAACACCAGAGGCGAAGGCGAUUUUCUGGGCCGGUUACUGACACUGAGGCACGAAAGCGUGGGGAGCAAAUAGGAUUAGAUACCCUGGUAGUCCACGCCCUAAACGAUGAGUGCUAGACGUCGAUUUUUAUAAUCGGUGUCGCAGCUAACGCGUUAAGCACUCCGCCUGAGGACUACGAUCGCAAGAUUAAA
rnacentral:rRNA from 1 species